CUAUCCGUCGUGGGCGCAGGAAAUUUGAGAGGAGCUGUCCUUAGUACGAGAGGACCGGGAUGGACGCACCGCUGGUGUACCAGUUGUCUUGCCAAAGGCAUCGCUGGGUAGCUAUGUGCGGACGGGAUAAGUGCUGAAAGCAUCUAAGCAUGAAGCCCCCCUCAAGAUGAGAUUUCCCAUAGCGUAAGCUAGUAAGAACCCUGAAAGAUGAUCAGGUUGAUAGGUCAGAGGUGGAAGCGCGGUGACGUGUGGAGCUGACUGAUACUAAUCGUUCGAGGACUUAACCAAAUA
rnacentral:rRNA from 1 species